UAAUCCCAGCAAUUUGGGAGGCUGAGGCAUGAGGAUUGCUUGAGCCCAGGAGUUCGAAGUUACAGCAAGCUAUAAUCAUACAAUGCACUCCAGCCUGGGUGACGGAGCAAGACCCUGUCU